AAAGAAUUGCCACCAACAACCGCUGCACGUCCAGCUACCCUGUCUGCAGAGCCAGAAAGCAGGAAAGGGCAUUUUAAGACCCUCAUUAUGGAGAUCGAAGAUUCUGCAAGUUGCCAAAUGCCUGGAGACUACAGAUGGGAGACAGGCGAUCACGGAGCAGGAAUCUGACCAGAGGAUUCAGGGAGGAGCUAAUCCAUGUGAGGAAUGCAGAGGAGUCCUUUUGCCAGAUCACUGACCGCACUGCGCACCUGAUAUCC